AUACUCGCUUCGGCAGCAUAUAUACUAAAACUGGAAUGAUACAGAGAAGAUUGGCAUGGUCCCUGCAUGAGAAUGACACACAAAUUUGUGAAGCAUUCCAUAUUUUU
ensembl:snRNA U6 U6 spliceosomal RNA